rnacentral:rRNA from 1 species
UACGGGGGGAGCAAGCGUUGUUCGGAUUUACUGGGCGUAAAGGGCGCGUAGGCGGCCACCGCAAGUCAAUUGUGAAAUCUCCGGGCUCAACCCGGAAAGGUCAACUGAUACUGCGGGGCUAGAGUGCAGAAGGGGCAACUGGAAUUCUCGGUGUAGCGGUGAAAUGCGUAGAUAUCGAGAGGAACACCUGCGGCGAAGGCGGGUUGCUGGGCUGACACUGACGCUGACAGCGCGAAAGCUAGGGGAGCGAACAGG